rnacentral:tRNA from 1 species
UCUGGGAUGGUGUAGUUGGUUAUCACGUCUGUCUAACAUGCGGAGGCUUCGCCGACACCCUUUAUGUGCACAGAAGGUCCCGAGUUCAAGUCUCGGUCCUAGUAA